UGGCAGUGAGUAUAAUAAGUCUCGAGAUAAUGAAUAUCACCACGAUAUACAAUUCUGAUAAUACCUUGUAAUGUGAAAGGGUUGAAAUCCAAUCUAACAGACUGUAUAGACUCUUCUUUAUGAUUUAUAUAGUGCGUAAGAAAAUUCAAUCACCAUAUACAUAUUUACAUGAUAAGAUAGUCAAACCAAACACCAUGUAUCAGGGUCAGUGCUCUUGUUUUAAUUGUGUUGUUUAAUAAUACGUAACAAUAAUGAUAAUAUAACGUAAUGCCAGCGAUGACAUUUGUCCUGCUUCGUUUAUACUUCCGAAACACCACAGAUAACCGUCCUGUUCAUGAAGUGUUCGACUUGCUUAGUUUUUACUCUUGAAAAGGAACAGUGUUUGCCUAAUUUCUCUUUUUAAACUUUUU
rnacentral:lncRNA from 1 species